GUGAGUGAUUAUGGUUUAAGUA
rnacentral:miRNA from 1 species